rnacentral:lncRNA from 1 species
GUACUUGUUAUGGCAACAGAGAUGAAACUAGAAUGGGAUUGGGUGGGAUUUGUUCCCUCUGUCCUCCGAAAUUGUCAAUAGACUGAACCUUGAUUGAGAGGUUGGAGUCCACACUCAGCUGACCAGAAUAAACCAUAGAGUUUUCUGGCCAACUCAAAUGGGGAGAGAGGGACACAGAGAGGAAGGAGGAGGGACUUAGGAAAUUCACAGGCCUUUUUUGAUCUUGGAAAAGCAGAGAGGAGGGUCAGUUGGUCUUUUCUCCAUUGCAUUUUGAAUCUACCAGAGUAGGAUGCAGGAAAACUGAUGCAAAACUCCUGCCUUCCUGGAUAAAGGGAGGAGGCUAGGGAGACUGAUGAAAUUCACAAGAAACCUAACAAGACACAAGAGGCCCUUCCCUCAGGUUAUAUGAGCAGCAAACAGUAGCAGCAAUGUUCUGCCUCUACUUAGGCUCAAACACGAUGGAACCAGCCAACCACAGACUGAGACCAACGACUAAAUCCCCACAUAUACAGUUGUGCUGUGUGGAGCAUCGGAGAGUGGGACUUCAGUAAAGAUUCUGUGGUGGAGACACUUGAUUGACACAUGGCUCCAGAAUUUCUUACCAGGGCUUGUGAAACAUCAAGAAGAAUCAUUUCGAACCUACUGUGUCUGCCCAGAAUUAUCCACUUCACACAGUAUUUUGCAUGAUGAGUUUAGAAUGCCUUGGAUAUGAAGACUUCCCCCAAAGGCUGAUUUGUUACAGCUUGGUCUCCAGCUCACAGAUUCAACAUUGACAGCUGAUAGGAUGAUGGGGACUUGACCUAACCAAUGGAUUCAUCAACUGAUGGAGUCCUAAAGAGGGAGCAUGACUGGUGGUGACAGAAGCUUUGGAGGCUGGGCUAGGAUGGAUAAAAUAGAUAAUGGGGUAGGGGCAUGUCUAGGGGUGCUGUGUCUCACCCUGAGUGCCCUCCCUCCCUGUCCCCCUCUUUUCCCUCUGCUUCCUGGCUACUACAAAGUAAGCAAUGUUUCUCCAACACUCCCUUCUUCCAUAACAUGGCCCACAGACUGAAAUCAUGAACCAAAAAGGUCCUUUCAUGUUUAAUAUGAUCUUUUAGGUUUUUGCCACAUUGAUGGCAAUUAACUAAUCUAUCCUUUAACGUCCCUUUUUUUGGGGCACACAAUGGAAAGUUCAAAACCAUAUUUGUAUA